CUGGCGGCGUGCUUAACACAUGCAAGUCGAACGCGAAAGGGACUUCGGUCCUGAGUAAAGUGGCGCACGGGUGAGUAACGCGUAGAUAACCUGUCUUCAUGUCUGGAAUAAUACGCCAAAGGGGUACUAAUACCGGAUAUUCUUGCUUUUCAUAAGUUAUGCAAGCAAAGGUGGCCUCUGCAUAUGCUACUGCAUGAAGAGGGGUCUGCGUACCAUUAGCUAGUAGGUGGGGUAAUGGCCUACCUAGGCGACGAUGGUUAGCGGGUCUGAGAGGAUGAUCCGCCACACUGGCACUGGAACACGGGCCAGACUCCUACGGGAGGCAGCAGUGAGGAAUAUUGCGCAAUGGGGGAAACCCUGACGCAGCGACGCCGCGUGAGUGAGGAAGGCCUUCGGGUCGUAAAGCUCUGUCAAGAGGAAAGAAGUGUACAAUGGCUAAUACCUGUUGUAUUUGACGGUACCUCUAAAGGAAGCACCGGCUAACUCCGUGCCAGCCGCCGC
rnacentral:rRNA from 1 species